rnacentral:rRNA from 1 species
AGAGUUCGAUUAUGGCUCAGGACGAACGCUGGCGGCGCGCUUAACACAUGCAAGUCGAACGGAGUUGUUUCUGACACUUUGGAGACGGGGAACUGUCUUUAAAGUGUUGGGAAUAACUUAGUGGCGGACGGGUGAGUAACACGUGAGCAACCUACCUUUCAGAGGGGGAUAACGUCUGGAAACGGACGCUAAUACCGCAUGACAUAGCUGGAUGGCAUCAUCUAGUUAUCAAAGGAGAAAUCCGCUGGGAGAUGGGCUCGCGGCCGAUUAGGUAGUUGGAGUGGUAACGGCACACCAAGCCGACGAUCGGUAGCCGGACUGAGAGGUUGGACGGCCACAUUGGGACUGAGACACGGCCCAG